rnacentral:lncRNA from 12 species
CUUCUGGCAGGACUGUUGACUUGCUUUAUCACCUUGUUUCGCAGAUGAAACUUUACGGUGUGUAACUCAGUUCAGGAUUUCGGAAGGAAUAAAUAAGUUUUGCACCUUCGAAACUGGAUCUGAGAGUGAAAGAGAAGCAGUGGAAUGUCUGAGGCCGUUGUUUUCAAAAUACAUAGGUAAGAACUUCAGCUUUCCUUUUCACAGACUAUGUUGUCUGCAGCACAAACAGACACCAGGAGAGAGCUCUCCUUUUCUUUUUAGUUAGUUUUUUUUAGCUAGCUGAGGCAGAGAAGUUACCUAGACUGGCUGUCCUUUUUCUUGGAACUGAUCACCCCUGCUCUGGACUGAAAACCCAGAAGAACACCAGGAAUUCACAAUUGUGGCCCACCAGGGCCUGGGAGACAGCAUUUUCCAGUGCUGGAGGGAGUGAUAAGAGACUAAGCAAGCCGAGCUACACUCCACAACAAUGACUGAAUUUGCCAUCUCUUCAGAACAUCAAGAGGUUUUAUUGUUUAAUAUUGUUAAUUUUUUUAUGCUUAUGAAUACUUUGCUUGCUAAAUAAACAGGUUUUCCCACUUUUCUUCAAGGAAAGUUUUUCCCGAACCAAUUGGGGGAGGGGCUUGAAUCUGCUUUCUAGAGUUUCCUCCCAAAUUUGCCCUAAACCAGUUUAAAUAAUAUUUUGAAUAUGGGUUGUUUUCAGAUGAGCAUUCAC